rnacentral:rRNA from 1 species
CCUACGGGAGGCAGCAGUGGGGAAUAUUGGGCAAUGGGCGCAAGCCUGACCCAGCAAUGCCGCGUGAAGGAAGAAGGCUUUCGGGUUGUAAACUUCUUUGACAGGGGAAGAGCAGAAGACGGUACCCUGAAAACAAGCCACGGCUAACUACGUGCCAGCAGCCGCGGUAAUACGUAGGUGGCAAGCGUUGUCCGGAUUUACUGGGUGUAAAGGGCGUGUAGCCGGGAAGGCAAGUCAGAUGUGAAAUCUGGAGGCUCAACCUCCAAAUUGCAUUUGAAACUGGUGUUCUUGAGUACUGGAGAGGCAGACGGAAUUCCUUGUGUAGCGGUGAAAUGCGUAGAUAUAAGGAGGAACACCAGUGGCGAAGGCGGUCUGCUGGACAGCAACUGACGGUGAGGCGCGAAAGCGUGGGGAGCAAACAGGAUUAGAUACCCCAGUAGUC